rnacentral:tRNA from 1 species
AGGGGCAUAGCUCAAUGGUAGAGCAACGGACUCCAAAUCCUUUGGUGUGGGUUCGAUUCCUACUGCCCCUGCCA